AAUCAGUUUGUAAUAGUAAGUGAAACCAAUGAGUUCAAAGAAAAAUUGUUGAUGGAAGCUUCCUUAAGUAGUAUCCAUUAAAGGGUUGUUCUCAACAUGCAAAUCAACCUUUUGAUGUACUACUUUAAGAAUCUCCAGUUAAAGUCAACACAUAAGUAGUGAUAAUGCAAGAGUAUUGUAUCGGAAUUAAUUAGAAAUUAUAUAUUUAAGUAGUGGAUACAAAGGGCGAUUUGAUAUAAAAGUGUCGCAUUGUAUGACCUACUUAACUAGCUGAUUUUGUAUCCCAACAUAAUAGGUUAAAAAUUAAUUCGAAUUUUGUGAGCUGGGAUAAAGUACCAAAGAAUUUUGAAAACUGCACAUUCUUUUAAGACAAAAUUUUACUUUCCCUUGUUUUUUUUUCCAAAUUGAGAAUUUGUUGCCAUUGAAAUCGCAAUCUGCAUUGUUAUUUAUAAGAACUCAUUAGUAAGCCCGUGCGGAUGCUCUUGACAUGAUCGAUUUCUUGACAAGCAUCGCUUUCUGUGUUUACAUGCAUAAAUCAAAGUUGCGAUAAGGUUAAUACAAUUGCUUGCUUAACACCUUGUUGCCAGUGAGAUUUUUGUCUGAAAGAAGCUGGCAGAUAGACAGACAGACAGCCGAAACGAUUUAGCCAACAUACGUAACAAUGUUGCCAAAACAGCGUGACAGCCCCAAAAUCAGCAGCACAGUAGGAACAACAAUGGGGCAUUGGGGCAGUGUCAAGCAAGCAGAAACCCCCCCACUACCCACCACCACCAACUUACCCCCACCAAAGUGGUGUUAAGGCCACAUCACUGCCAUUUUUGCCAUUCUUUAGCCAUUCCGCAGCACGUGUGCCGAAGCUGCGACAAUGAGAAGUGUGUGUGCGACUGGGUGUGUGACUGGGUGGGUUAUGUGAAUGAUUUUUCACUUUUGCCGAAAUACAUUUUUAUAAAUUCUGACAGGGCAUUUGUUGAGCCCGCUGCCUUCGAUACCGCUGGGAAAGUUGAUAAAAAUGUUCUGCUCCUCGGGAAAAGUUCUUCCUGAAAGGAAUAUACAAGGUUAUUCGGUGCAAAAUGUCCAUCGUUGUUUGGGGGGCAUGACUUAUCGAUGCAGCUGGAAUAUUGAUGUUGGAAUAAUAAAGAUACACAGUUCGGUGUAUAUAGGUUUUUUGGUCAUGAAAAGCUACCCAAGACUACGGGACCGACUACGGGACCGAGUAUGCCAUAUUAACCGCUUUAUACCAUUAUAAAAACUAAGAUAUAAGCUUCCAUUCCUUGCAAUGAACUAACUCCUCUCAUAUGUUGAUAACAAAAUGAGCCAUCAACGACUGUCUAAGCAGUUCCACUCCCUCUCCCCGGGGACCACAAGCAGUUGGGAUAAUAAACCAAAUAAAUAUUAUAACUUCAUCAGGGCUCAACAGUCCUCAGCUGCCACAGCAUCCUCAAAGUGUUGAGGCGCAAAGAUUGAUGAUAAGAGAGAUGUUUGCGAAGAUGACCCUCGACCACCCACUGACCCCCCGCUAUGAUGGAAAAAACGUAUUUCUUUUCGGGUACGUAACUCAAAUAUUUCGCCCUAAAUUCCACGACUAUCAGCUGCCCAUCGCCGGCCUAUCAUCAACUCAUAAUGUUGACAUUUUUCCCACAGUUCAAUGGGCAUCGAAAUACAAACGUGUCUGUAUUCCUUCUGCUGGGCGUUAUCUGUAGGUGGUUGAGGCUUCUUCUGUCUUUUGCCUCCUGACUUCGGAUGUAUCUGAGACUUGGAGUGGGGGAGAUGAGAAAUGGGACAACACGGGCCGUUCUUUUGUUUGAUUGACUCGACUUGGCCUUUGUUUCAAUGACUCGAAACAUCUUGAUGAUGGCUUGUCCAAAUACGGACAACGAUGGAGCAGCGUUUGUGGGUGUGGGGACUUGAAUGGAAGACGUGCUAUUUGAUUUCAUCUUAUUUUUGUAAUUUCUGGGUUCAGUGCGCAGCAAGUAGUUAAAUAUAUAUUUUCAUUUCGUCAUUUUUCUCAGCUUACGUACAUACCAUAUGUAUGUGUAUAAAUAUCUUUCUAUGACAUAAUGCUUCAUUAGGCAGCGACACCCGCACAUCUGGAAAUGAAAGAAAAUCGUGGAAAAUUUCUGGGCUUCUGUGUUGAUUUGUUUGCCCGGCAAUUAUUAUGCUUAUCGCUGACACAAAUCGCCAUUUAAUUAGUUCGAUGCCAUUGUGUCGUGUUUGUAGACUUCCCAUUGAUUUGUUGACACUGCCUAAGUUUGUCAGCAGCGAAGGCCACUUGUCCAUAAUGCUCGAGUAGGCUAAUAGGGAUCACGGGUCUCUGUGGCUGACAGCUGGCAAAUAUUUUCCCACUUAAAUAUCAUAAUUGGCUCACUUUAUUGCCAUGACAACUCACGCGAAAAUUAAAGUGAUUUAAUCAGUUUGGUGGAAAUGGGUACGGUAAUGCAAUU
ensembl:ncRNA lncRNA:CR45913 long non-coding RNA:CR45913